ACUCCUACGGGAGGCAGCAGUGGGGAAUAUUGCACAAUGGGCGCAAGCCUGAUGCAGCCAUGCCGCGUGUAUGAAGAAGGCCUUCGGGUUGUAAAGUACUUUCAGCAGUGAGGAAGGCGGGUACGUUAAUAGCGUGCUUGUUUGACGUUAGCUGCAGAAGAAGCACCGGCUAACUCCGUGCCAGCAGCCGCGGUAAUACGGAGGGUGCGAGCGUUAAAUCGGAAUUACUGGGCGUAAAGCGCAUGCAGGUGGUUUGUUAAGUCAGAUGUGAAAGCCCGGGGCUCAACCUCGGAAUUGCAUUUGAAACUGGCAGACUAGAGUACUGUAGAGGGGGGUAGAAUUUCAGGUGUAGCGGUGAAAUGCGUAGAGAUCUGAAGGAAUACCGGUGGCGAAGCGGCCCCCUGGACAGAUACUGACACUCAGAUGCGAAAAGCGUGGGGAGCAAACAGGAUUAGAUACCCUGGUAGGAUAGCG
rnacentral:rRNA from 1 species